GGCGUGCUUAACACAUGCAAGUCGAACGGAAAGGCCCUGCUUUUGUGGGGUGCUCGAGUGGCGAACGGGUGAGUAACACGUGAGUAACCUGCCCUUGACUUUGGGAUAACUUCAGGAAACUGGGGCUAAUACCGGAUAGGAGCUCCUGCUGCAUGGUGGGGGUUGGAAAGUUUCGGCGGUUGGGGAUGGACUCGCGGCUUAUCAGCUUGUUGGUGGGGUAGUGGCUUACCAAGGCUUUGACGGGUAGCCGGCCUGAGAGGGUGACCGGCCACAUUGGGACUGAGAUACGGCCCAGACUCCUACGGGAGGCAGCAGUGGGGAAUAUUGCACAAUGGGCGGAAGCCUGAUGCAGCAACGCCGCGUGCGGGAUGACGGCCUUCGGGUUGUAAACCGCUUUCGCCUGUGACGAAGCGUGAGUGACGGUAAUGGGUAAAGAAGCACCGGCUAACUACGUGCCAGCAGCCGCGGUGAUACGUAGGGUGCGAGCGUUGUCCGGAUUUAUUGGGCGUAAAGGGCUCGUAGGUGGUUGAUCGCGUCGGAAGUGUAAUCUUGGGGCUUAACCCUGAGCGUGCUUUCGAUACGGGUUGACUUGAGGAAGGUAGGGGAGAAUGGAAUUCCUGGUGGAGCGGUGGAAUGCGCAGAUAUCAGGAGGAACACCAGUGGCGAAGGCGGUUCUCUGGGCCUUUCCUGACGCUGAGGAGCGAAAGCGUGGGGAGCGAACAGGCUUAGAUACCCUGGUAGUCCACGCUGUAAACGGUGGGUACUAGGUGUGGGGUCCAUUCCACGGGGUUCCGUGCCGUAGCUAACGCUUUAAGUACCCCGCCUGGGGAGUACGGCCGCAAGGCUAAAACUCAAAGGAAUUGGCGGGGCCCCGCACGAGCGGCGGAGCAUGCGGAUUAAUUCGAUGCAACGCGUAGAACCUUACCUGGGUUUGACAUGGAUCGGGAGCGCUCAGAGAUGGGUGUGCCUCUUUUGGGGUCGGUUCACAGGUGGUGCAUGGCUGUCGUCAGCUCGUGUCGUGAGAUGUUGGGUUAAGUCCCGCAACGAGCGCAACCCUUGUUCACUGUUGCCAGCACGUUAUGGUGGGGACUCAGUGGAGACCGCCGGGGUCAACUCGGAGGAAGGUGGGGAUGACGUCAAGUCAUCAUGCCCCUUAUGUCCAGGGCUUCACGCAUGCUACAAUGGCUGGUACAGAGAGUGGCGAGCCUGUGAGGGUGAGCGAAUCUCGGAAAGCCGGUCUCAGUUCGGAUUGGGGUCUGCAACUCGACCUCAUGAAGUCGGAGUCGCUAGUAAUCGCAGAUCAGCAACGCUGCGGUGAAUACGUUCCCGGGGCUUGUACACACCGCCCGUCAAGUCAUGAAAGUUGGUAACACCCGAAGCCGGUGGCCUAACCGUUGUGGGGGAGCCGUCGAAGGUGGGACUGGUGAUUAGGACUAAGU
rnacentral:rRNA from 1 species